UCCAUUUAGCUCGGGACUCUGAAGCCGAAGCUGUGAAUGACGUCGCACCAGAGUUCAAUGCGUUCCAUUUACAAGACUGAUUUUUCAUUGUGGGCUUAGCUCUAGCCAGGUCAGCUCUUCUUAGCAAUACCAGUUGAUGACAAGGGAUUAUGCUGUUUUUGUACGUGCAUACCAACACCGUAAUAUGUCCACAGAUAGAAGGUGGACAGGACUGUGGGUUCAACUGAUUUAGUGAGACACAAACGAGACAAGUGCUCAUAACUGUAUGUUACCACAGCUUUCACAACUGUUCAUGCAUUGGGCAUCCUUGUUGGAUUUAGAGCUUGUUGUACUCAGAGGUUGUCAGAGUUCCUAGCUCGGAAAUCCGAGGUCAGGAGGGCGUGUUUUCCGACUUUGACCUCGGAAAGUCCGACUUCCGAUUAUAAAUGGAAUUAACUAUAACUGUGCUUAAUGA